AAAAAGGGUGCUCGCUACUUUAAUAGCGCGUUAGUUCGUUUAUUGACGAAUUAGCGGGGUAUGGCUAUCAAGACAUACCCAGUACGUAAUUUUUGUAAAUGCGAGGCUGUUGGCUGCCAGUUCGCACCGACGCCUCC